AUGAACGCUAGCGGCAGGCCUAACACAUGCAAGUCGAGGGGCAUCGGGGCGUAGCAAUACGCUGCCGGCGACCGGCGGAUGGGUGAGUAACGCGUAUGCAACCUGCCUUCAGCAGGGGGAUAGCCCGUUGAAAGACGGAUUAAUACCCCGUAACACAGGGGCUCCGCAUGGAGAUUAUUGUUAAAGGGAUACUUCCUUCGGGGGGUAUUCCGGCUGAAGAUGGGCAUGCGUUCCAUUAGGUAGUUGGUUGAGGUAACGGCUCACCAAGCCUACGAUGGAUAGGGGAACUGAGAGGUUGGUCCCCCACACUGGUACUGAGACACGGACCAGACUCCUACGGGAGGCAGCAGUGAGGAAUCUUGGUCAAUGGACGGAAGUCUGAACCAGCCAUGUCGCGUGAAGGAGGACGGCCCUAAGGGUUGUAAACUUCUUUUGCAGCGGAAUAAAGUAUUCCACGAGAUGGGAUAUUGCAAGUACGCUGCGAAUAAGGAUCGGCUAACUCCGUG
rnacentral:rRNA from 1 species